GAGCCAGACUCCUACGGGAGGCAGCAGUGGGGAAUAUUGCACAAUGGGGGAAACCCUGAUGCAGCAACGCCGCGUGAGUGAAGAAGUCAUUCGUGAUGUAAAGCUCUAUCAGCAGGGAAGAAAAUGACGGUACCUGACUAAGAAACCCCGGCUAACUACGUGCCAGCAGCCGCGGUAAUACGUAGGGGGCAAGCGUUAUCCGGAUUUACUGGGUGUAAAGGGAGCGUAGACGGCAGUGCAAGUCCGGAGUGAAAGCCCGGGGCUCAACCCUGGGACUGCUCUGGAAACUGUAAAGCUGGAGUGCGGGAGGGGCAGGCGGAAUUCCUGGUGUAGCGGUGAAAUGCGUAGAUAUCAGGAGGAACACCGGCGGCGAAGGCGGCCUGCUGGACCGUAACUGACGUUGAGGCUCGAAAGCGUGGGGAGCAAACAGGAUUAGAUACCCCCGUAC
rnacentral:rRNA from 1 species